GCUUCCCGGCCGGUCCUUCAUUCCCCUGGCUGUUGCUGCAGAAAUCAGGCGCGCAGGCGGCUGGCGUCCCCCAACCCAGAGCUGGAAACUGCCUGCAGAGAGCGCAUUGGAUGCCUGCUCUUCUCGGCUCUGACUCACUCCCUCCGGGUGCAGAGCUCCGUCCCCAGCGCAGUGCUCUGGCCACAGCCAGUCGCCAGGCUGCAGCCCUGCAAUCUGUUGAUAACUCCACUCAUAAGCUCCAAUCUAAUGCCUUUCGUCAUAGAAAGCUGUUCCCUAGCACGAGGGACAUGCCACAUCUCGCCUGUGAGAAGCGGGAGACCUGUGCCUCUUCAGCUGCCUUUACCAAAAUAGGUCUAAAUGGCUAGAACCGUCUCAGAGCUACCAUUCUGUCAGACAGAGCUUUUCCGGUCUCAACAUUCUCCUGAACUAUCCACACUAAGAAAGCAACUGCCAGCCUAGAAGGAAACACUCUUCAAAAUGUCUGUCUUCAAACCUCUUCAUGACUUCUCCGUCCCAUGUAUCCCUCUAAAAAGGAAAUCCCAGCAAACUAUGUUCAUGUAACGUCCACUGGCAUUCUAAGAGAAUGAGUGACUUACCUUCUGUUUGUCCCAUGGAAGGCUGAUCUAUUGAUAAGAUACAGUUAUCACUGAAAAGACAAGCAAGGAAAUGCAUCAGGCUCUCUUGAAACCAGUCUGGGUUGGUGCAGAACCAGAAAAUAAAAAAAUACAGAACGGAGAAACAAGAAUAAGAAAAUCUACACACAGCGACUCCCACUGGUGAGUCCGGCACUUGAGAAGCUGAGGCAGCUGUAGAGGGAGAUCCUGCCAC
rnacentral:lncRNA from 1 species